AAGCACCAAAAGAAAAGUACUAUUAGAAUUGGCAAGAAGAUAAAGUAGAAGAUGGACAUUAAAGAAACAUAUUCGUUUCGCCAUUUUUUCUCAUUGACCUCAACGUCUUACAAGAGAGCUAGCGCCGUUCUCUUCUCUUUCAAGAACUUGAGUUUCUGAGCAUCGCCUAAUGCAUUGCAGGGCCAGAAACUCGUGGCCUCACGGGUGUCUUUGAAGGACUCACCCUGAUAGGUUGGGUGCCCAACAUCUCACCACAAAGAUCUAAUGCCAAAAUUGCACUCUCAGCCAUAACAAAUUCAACAAAACCGAUACGGGUAGAGUGCACUUGAUCCCCCAAAAGCCUCAGACGAGAAACCACACCACAUCUUGUCUCAAAAAAGAAUUUGACAUCAGCUUGAGAAACCGUCUUAUCGAUAUUUGUACAAUAGACUGUCCUAGCACACAUUUCACGCUCAUCCUCUGACCUUGGAAGGAAUGUAGGAUUCACAGGUAGAAUAGCGGUUUUUGAAGGUAGAACCUUGAGUUGGGAGAAACCUAAAAUUGUUCCACAAAGACAAAGCGACGCUUUUGCAGAAUAUUCAUCAGCAAACUCAACAAAAGCAAAGCGAAGGCGGGAGUGUGGAUCACCACAAACUCGGCAGUCCACGACUUGUCCAUAUGCACUAAAUAGCGCAGCAAGCUGUUCUUCCGUGAUAUUGAUAUCAAGGUCGGAAACAUAAACUGUUCGCCUAAUGCUAUCUUCUCUUUGAGCUCUAAAAGAUCUACUGUUCAUUCUCCUUCUGCUUUGGUUAAAGUUGUUUCCUCUCCUUCUGUUAUUUCUGAAACCAUCCCCUCCCAUAGUCAUCUUAUCAGCUGUCACAAAAUUGUUAAAAACUAUCUGAUCACGAUUAUACGAAGAAGGAACAAAUUCCUUAGCCAUUGGAUUCAGCUUCAGAUUAUUCAACAUAUGAACAACAAUAUCUUGCAUUUCAUACUCCGAUUUUCCAUUAGACACCACAUCAGACUCUUCAACAACACCAUUAACUACAGAUUCAGACUUCACAUUUGGCACAACAACCUCAAUAACAUCAAUUUCAUCACACCCUUUUGCACCAGCCGCCAUUGAAACAAAAAAAAAACACUCAAAUUUUUACAAGAAAACAGAAAAAUAAGAGGAAUUCUUGAUUCCAAUAUGUUAAAGAUCAGAUUUUUACAGCAAAAAUCUAAUCUUUACACAACCCCAAUACAGAAAUAUGUAAAAUUAAAUACGGGUAUAGAUCAAAAACUCAAAUCUUUAAUCUGAAAUUGAAUUAUUUUAGAGCAAAAUGUGUUCAAGAAAUGCUUAUUGACUGAGACCCAUUUGGGGAAUCAAAAGAAAAUGAUGAGUGAAAGAGAAGACAGAUACAGAAAGAGAGAGCUCAAGAAGGGGUUUUUG
rnacentral:misc_RNA from 1 species